CACCUAGUGUGAUCUAGUGGUUUGAGCGCUAGACUAGGACUCUGGAGAGCAGGGUUCAAACCCCUGCUUGGCCA